AUUGAACGCUGGCGGCAUGCCUUACACAUGCAAGUCGAACGGCAGCACGGGAGCAAUCCUGGUGGCGAGUGGCGAACGGGUGAGUAAUAUAUCGGAACGUGCCCAGUCUGGGGGAUAACGUAGCGAAAGCUACGCUAAUACCGCAUACGAUCUAUGGAUGAAAGCGGGGGAUCGCAAGACCUCGCGCGAUUGGAGCGGCCGAUAUCAGAUUAGGUAGUUGGUGNGGUAAAAGGGCUCACCAAGCCGACGAUCUGUAGCUGGUCUGAGAGGA
rnacentral:rRNA from 1 species